GGGCCUACGGGAGGUAGCAGUGGGGAAUAGUGGGAAAUGGGAGUAAGCCUGACCCAGCAACGCCGCGUGAAGGAAGAAGGCUUUCGGGUUGUAAACUUCUUUUCUCAGGGACGAAGAAAGUGACGGUACCUGAGGAAUAAGCCACGGCUAACUACGUGCCAGCAGCCGCGGUAAUACGUAGGUGGCAAGCGUUAUCCGGAUUUACUGGGUGUAAAGGGCGUGUAGGCGGGAAAGCAAGUCAGAUGUGAAAACCAUGGGCUCAACCUGUGGCCUGCAUUUGAAACUGUUUUUCUUGAGUACUGGAG
rnacentral:rRNA from 1 species